rnacentral:ncRNA from 1 species
AGUUGGUUCCUGUCGACGACAGGUGAAAAGGGAAUGCGUGUGGCCUUGCGCCACGGCCUACAAACGCAGCCGCCCCCGCGACCGUGACCAGAGAGGGCUCUCACAGACCACUGACACUUGUCGGGAAGGGUGAGUGACCAUAAGAGCCAAGGCUCCGAGAUCUGCAAGCCGGGAGACCUGCCAACUCA